UUAUUAUUAUUAUCAUCAUAUUUAUUAUAGGGGCUCUUGCAUGUAUAGCACAUUUAAUUUAAUAAAUUAGCAAAUUAAAGCCCAACCCACGUUUAAAAUUUAUAAAAUUACAAAAUUACCCAAUAUAAUCCCCUUCUCAUGCAAUUUCCCUUCCCGUGCUCCCUUCCGUGGAAUUUCCCUUUCAUCCCCAAAAUUUAGGGUUUCGCUUCAAAUCGGACGAAAAAAAACUUCAAUCGGACGAAGAAGAAAACGAACAGACUUCAGACGAACUUGUUAUUUUCUUUCUCCCCUUCACGUUUAACAAACUUCGGACAACAUCUUGUUGAUACACUUGAGAACUUCAGUCGAAAAAUGUCGAAAAAUGGCAAGGGAAAAGAUUGAAAAAGUUAAAACGAGAAAAAGAAAAAUAAAUUUUGAGAAGGGUGAAGAAAGUUCAAAGAGUAGAAAAGGACAAAGAAAGAAUAAAUGAUCAUUGAAGAAAGAGGUUAAUGCUGAAGAGAACCUUGCAAACAAAGUUCAUUACUAUUCAAAGUUGACAAUAAUAGAGUCAAUUGUCAAAAAGUUGUCCAAAGAGCAAAUGCAAAUGUUUAGGAAGAGUCUAUUUGUGCACCUUCUUGAUAUUCAAAUCAAAAAGUGUCCUGGAUAAUUGUUAGUUCAUUUGAUUAGAAGACUGUCUAAGCAAUCAACUGACAACACUUUGAUUUUCAAUCUAGAGGGUAAUAUAGUAAAAUUUGGAUUGAGAGAAUUUCAUUUAAUAAGCGGAUUGAAUUGUCAACCAUUCCCACAAUCCACAACUUCAAAUAUCAAGGAGGAAUUCAAUAGUGAAUUGAGAACCGCCUGCUUUAGUAAUAUUGAUAUAUUAGACAGAAACAAAAUUAUUGCAGCCUUUAGUAUAGCACAACUUAGUGACCAACUCAUGGUUAAAUUAGCAAAUCUUCUUAUUUUAGACUGUUUCAUCAACUGCAAACAACUUCAUAAUGUAGUAGAUUGGAAACACCUUAAAAUGAUAGAUGAUGAGGAAACUUUGCUAAACUUUCCAUAGGGUAGAUUGUCUUUUAACCUAACUGUUGGAUAUAUGAGAAAAGCUGCAGAAGACUUGACCGUCAAUUUCUCACUACAAGGAUUUCCACACAUUUUAGUUUGUUGGGCACUAGAAAUCAUCCCAAAGCUUUCUGAAAGUCCAAAUGGGAUAGCCACAAGAAUUGGACAUCGAAGCCCAAGAAUCAUAAAUUGGAAAUUAGAACAGCAACCUCUGUUUGGACAUAUCUGCAACGGAAUUACUUCAAGUCAAGUGAUGUAAAUUCUUUUUCUUCUACAACCUAAUCAGUUAUAUACUACAUUUUUACAGUUAUCCCUUUCACUCUAACUAGCGAUGAACUAAUCUCUCCAAACUUUCAAUUCUUCCUAAAUGACGCACCAAAUGAAGUUGAGAAAGAACGAACUGAAGAAACAGAAGAUGAGAAUGACAAAGGUGAUGAGGAAGAAACUGUAAAUGAUGAGACAAAAAAAUCGUUGAGAAAAGAAAUUCAAGAAGUGAAGAAGGACUUGGAAAGCUUGAAGAAUACCGUAGAAAAUGGAAAAAAUGAAGUAUUGGAAUUGUUAAAUAAUAUAAUCACCAUAAUCAAUGAAAGAAUGCCAACAAAAAAACAAUCACAAGGAUCGUACCAUGAAAAUCAUGCUCCAACUUUAAGUUUGCAACGUCUUGAGGAAAGAAUGAAUAUUCAUAACUUGGAUGAUGCAGAGAUUAAUGAAGAAGAAAUUGAACAAGAAUAGAAUGCAGAAGAACUGGAGCAAGCAAUCAAGAAUAUUGAUAAGUUCAUCAACAAUAAUCAAGAAGAUGCCAAAAAAAAUGAGGAAGAAAUAGAGAAUCAAGAAGUUAAUGCAGAAGAUCAACCAAUGAAUCCAGAAAAUGAAGACAAAAAUAAUGAAAAAGACAAUGAAGAAAAACAAAUGAAUGAAGUUUCAAAAGAAGCACAUCACCCAACCAUUGGAGAAUCUGAAGAACAGUCAAAUGAAAGAGAGUUAGAUGGAAAGGAGUUAAUGGAAACAAGCCUCAAAUUAGUUGAAGACAUCCUUGAAAUUCAAGAGGUUAUAACUUUUCUAAACUUAAGUUUAUUGACUGAUACACCUUAUUAUUCUACGUAUAUAAACUUGCUGAUACAUGUUGAUUUAUUAUUAUACAUUGGAUUUGGGUGAUAACACAAGAAAAACACCAACAAAAUGAAGAAGGGAGGACAAAGGGAAAGAACGAUAAAGGCAAACAAGUGGCUACUCAAAAUAGAGUACUUACAAGGAAAGCUUCACAACUUGCUGCCAAUGAUGAAAAGUGUAAAGUGCAACAUGUGCAACAUGAGCGACCGAAAAGGAAAUUGAAACCCACACCAAAAGAUAUUGAUUUGGAAUUGGCCCAAAAGCAUAAAUCUCCCAAAAAGGGAAAAAAGUCAAAUGUUGCAUUUGAACCACCAAGUUUUGAUUUGCUACCUUGAUAAACUUUUCUUUUGGACACUUUUGAAUAUGUUUUCACAUGUGAUAUACUUUAUCUCAAA